rnacentral:rRNA from 1 species
ACGGGUGAGGAAUACAUCGGAAUCUACCUUUUCGUGGGGGAUAACGUAGGGAAACUUACGCUAAUACCGCAUACGACCUACGGGUGAAAGCAGGGGAUCUUCGGACCUUGCGCGAUUGAAUGAGCCGAUGUCGGAUUAGCUAGUUGGCGGGGUAAAGGCCCACCAAGGCGACGAUCCGUAGCUGGUCUGAGAGGAUGAUCAGCCACACUGGAACUGAGACACGGUCCAGACUCCUACGGGAGGCAGCAGUGGGGAAUAUUGGACAAUGGGCGCAAGCCUGAUCCAGCCAUACCGCGUGGGUGAAGAAGGCCUUCGGGUUGUAAAGCCCUUUUGUUGGGAAAGAAAUCCAGCCGGCUAAUACCUGGUUGGGAUGACGGUACCCAAAGAAUAAGCACCGGCUAACUUCGUGCCAGCAGCCGCGGUAAUACGAAGGGUGCAAGCGUUACUCGGAAUUACUGGGCGUAAAGCGUGCGUAGGUGGUUGUUUAAGUCUGUUGUGAAAGCCCUGGGCUCAACCUGGGAACUGCAGUGGAAACUGGACAACUAGAGUGUGGUAGAGGGUAGCGGAAUUCCCGGUGU